rnacentral:snRNA from 1 species
UUGCUUCAGCAGCACAUAUAUUGUUAUUAGCACGAUAAAUGGCCCCAGCACAAGGGUGACAUGCAAAUUCAUGAAACAUUCCAUAUUUUU